rnacentral:lncRNA from 1 species
GAAUGAGGGCUAAUGUCUCAUCUCUAACAUUACAUCCCAUCCCUGUCCAACCACUCCCCUCCCAUGCAUGCAGGAGAGCCUCCUGCACAUCAGCAGCUAACACAGACCUCGCUCAAGCACUGGGAGUGAUCUCUUUUACCUCUCUGCGGUGAUCUGUGCUACCCCAAGAAGCAGAACGUUUGUGAGCACUGGAGCUGGCCUUCCCCACUUCUGCAUCAUGCCAGGACACCGGGGUCUGGGUAGCUUUGUCAUUCAUGCACGAGGCAGAAGCUCCAUCAGCAUCCCGUGGCCACUGCCCCAGCAGGUAGGAGCCCACGAUGGUGUCCAGUGAAGAGGUGCGACGCACGCGGGGCUGCCGGGGCCGGCACGGCUUCUCCACAGCAGCAGCAGCAGCACAGGGAACACUGGCUGCCCGGCCCCCGUCUCCGCUGGCGCCGCGGCGCUGCUGGAGCUGGAAGGGGACGGUAGCACGGAGCGGCUGGAGCCCCCCCGCCCCGCCGCGGCAGCAGGAGGUGCCCGCGGCACCCGCCAUGCCCGGCCCGAC